AAUCAGCCUAAUGCAAGCUGGAAUAGGCCUUGCUCUGUGGAGAUUCUCUCUCUCCUCAAAACCAGAAUUUAAACCAGCAACCUGACUUCUAGGCAAGAGAAGACUUUUUAAAUGCAACCGAAGAAGUUGCAGUUCAUGGAGGGUAGGUCAGUCACAUGAUCAGGUGAACAGGAUGAGAGAGCAGCACCAGACAUAAUUCCAUGGCUUCAUACGCUGGCCAGUCAUUCUCAUGUAAGACAACAUGAGUACUGUGUGGCAUCUGCUCCUCAGAAGACAAGUGGGAAGAGGAGGGAGAUAAAAAAUGUGGGAAGUCCUGUAGCUGUGCCUGGAGCCUAAUAAUGAUGAUUAAAUAUAAUCAAGACUUAAACAGAGCCCGGUAGACACGUUGUGUUUCAACAGAGGAAGUCAUCAAUAUCCACUGCUGGAGGAAUAUCACAAUGCUGACAUUUCACAUUGCUAUAGUGAAU